rnacentral:rRNA from 1 species
AUUGAACGCUGGCGGCAGGCUUAACACAUGCAAGUCGAGCGGGGUGAUGGUGCUUGCACUAUCACUAGCGGCGGACGGGUGAGUAAUGCUUAGGAAUCUGCCUAUUAGUGGGGGACAACAUCUCGAAAGGGAUGCUAAUACCGCAUACGUCCUACGGGAGAAAGCAGGGGAUCACUUGUGACCUUGCGCUAAUAGAUGAGCCUAAGUCGGAUUAGCCAGUUGGUGGGGUAAAGGCCUACCAAGGCGACGAUCUGUAGCGGGUCUGCGAGGAUGCUCCGCCACACUGGGACUGAGACACGGCCCAGACUCCUACGGGAGGCAGCAGUGGGGAAUAUUGGACAAUGGGGGGAACCCUGAUCCAGCCAUGCCGCGUGUGUGAAGAAGGCCUUAUGGUUGUAAAGCACUUUAAGCGAGGAGGAGGCUCUUUUGGUUAAUACCCAAGAUGAGUGGACGUUACUCGCAGAAUAAGCACCGGCUAACUCUGUGCCAGCCGCCGCCGUAA